UGUGUGUGUGUGUGUGUGUGUGUGUGUGUGUGUGUGUGUGUGUGUGUGUGUGUGCGCGCGCACGUGUCCUCAGGUUGCAAGUGAAUGAAGCGGAUACAUUCUGUUAAAAUGUGUGUGCUUCUGAUGUCAGAUGAGGACGUGGAGUCCUUUUUUUUCUGCUGAGUGAAGUGUGAAAGCCCCGUGGGCUAAGCUGGGAGGAUGUUUGAUGGCUGACCGAGGGGAACGGUGUAUUUAACACCGCCGAGAGUUGAGCAUGAGCAGGGGCUUAAUGAUGGGAUGAGCGCUAAUUCAGCGCCCAGCGCCUGCCAGCUAUCGGGCACCUGCGGAGCCCAGCGUCACUCAGAGAGGAUCCGUGUCCCUCCAUCUCACACUCACACCGCUGAACGUCAAAGGUACUUUCUACAAAAUGGCCUCAGAUGGCUAUCAUGCUCUCUCACACACUUUUUCCCAUGGAGCUUAGUGAGACCAUUUGAAAUGUUUGUGGUGUGUUUUGCUGUUUCCUCUCCAUGGUGUGACCUCGGGGUUAAGUUUGUGUAUUUCCAUAAAGCAUCACAAAACACACACACACACACACAGACACACGAUUAAUCCUAGAUCUAAUCUGCCCACUUUCCUUUAUUUAUACAUUAUUGUCUCUUUAGUAACAACUUCGGCAGACACUCCACAUAUAUGGUUUUAAAAAAAAAUUGUGUAACUGUUGUUAUAGUGAGUUUUCUGUAAGGACAUUUACGGAAGGAGUCUCCAGUGUCAGAGUCAGUAAAGCUGUAACUUUACGUUUUCAGACAUCUUCAGGACAGAGGAGUUUACACUUUGCAGUUUCUCAGUAACAUGACAAGCUUAGUUUUUUUAUAUUAUUAAGAGAGCGAUAAAAAGAUACUGAGACUGUUUAUAGCUGCUGUAACAUAAGUGAGAACAGGCACUAACUUGAUUUGUGUACUUAAAUGUAACUAUAAAUGCAUAAAAAUAUGACAUGGCAUUCAUUAAUAAAUAACAACUUGUAAUUGUUAGCAAAUUGCUGUGUUAUAAGAGAAAUAAAACAACACAGGAUGUGCUGUUGUAGGAAAAUAAUCUACUUCAGGGUGGUACCAGUAACUGUGCGUUGCAUUUGGUUGCAUCGCACCACCUCAUCUUUGAUUAUUUUCCUACAACAGCAUGCCUCAUUGUGUUUUACUCCAUACUUAAUGUGGUGCAUCACUCUCUGGACAGUGCUAUUCAUUAAGCGUACCAUUAUUUACACUCACUAAUAACUACAUUUAGCCACUAUUGGUGAAGACAUGUACUUUGCACUCUUUGCAUUUGUUAUUAGUGACAUUCCGUUGUUGAUUUUUUAAUGUAUUUGUCCCUUUGUGCCCAAUUGAAAAUAUCCCUUUGUAAAGGUAAACCUCUUAUUCCUCAUGGAAUUAAAAAAAGGCUUGUAUUAUGCACUUUGGACUUUGGAUGCCAGUCCAUCACAGUUGAAAUCUUCAUAAAAUUAUGAUCAUUUUAAAACAUUAAAAUUUAAUUUUUUUCAUUUUA